AUUGACCUUAUUCCUCCACAUCUAUCGAGAUAAGCUCGGUAAAUGAGGCUUAUACCGUUGGACUCCCUUAAGUCUCAGCUUUCAUAUGGCAUAUCGUUUGUCGGUUUGUGUGUGUGGCCAAAUCGCAUUUUCAACUUCCAGCCAAACUGUAAACUAAAAACUGCCCAAUCAACCAAAAACCUGCGGGAGGAGCCAGGGGCGUCCCCAUGCAGACUCUCCGGGGUGGCGUGCUGUGUGCUGCGGUCUCCAAAGUCAUCGCAGUCUUCUGCAGAGAUAGGGGACAAGACAAGUGCAGCCACAGUUACGGCAGACAGAAGGAGAAAGGUGAAGGAGGACUUGGAAGAGGUGUAUUCUUCCUCCCCUGCGGAGACUGUUUCUUUCUUGGGGCGUCUGCUCCACGUGGACCAUUUGACAAAGAAACAAGAGGCUGGGGAAAUAGGAUAAAGGAGAUGGCGCGAACUGAUGGACAUUUGGAGAUGGACAUUUUAUUGACCCAAGCUUGACCAGAGCUGAGGGAACUGCAGGAGGUGUAGGGCGCCAGUCAGAUGGGUGGAAGGCCCAUGAGGAGAUGACAUGAAGAGGACAUCCCGGCACCACACAGAAAGGCUCCGGUUGGGUUCGCAUGCUAGGACCAGCGAGGAGAAAUAGCAGUUAAAGUGGCCUUUCACUAAUUCCUAAA
ensembl:lncRNA